UGAGGGGCCAGACCGACAUGACGUGUCACCGGUAACUCGUGUGUGACCACUGCUUUAUGGGGUGAGGGAGCUCUUGCUGGGCUGAGAUGCCGGUAUAGCAGCGGCGGUUCAUCGAGGUUAAACUGUCUCCUGCUGUCCUUUUUUAGGGUUUUUGUUUGUAGGUUUUGUUUCGUUUAGUUAGUCCGCUCGGCCUUGCAGGGCCGUACACUACAAGACCUGGGUGCAUUGUGUGAGCGCGAACUAACUUUUCUAUUUUGUCAAUUCUUUUUUUGGGUUUGUUUCAUUUCACUUCCCUAUUUAGAUCUGAUUAAGAUAAUGAUCAGCCUUGACCUGAUUACUGUGAAACCCAACAUCAAGUGUGAUGGUGUUUAGACAUUUUAGAGUGCAGUGAUUUGUUUUUCAUUUUUGGUUCAAUGGGCUCAUAUGUGAUCGGCCUCAAGGGGAGAAGAUUGGAC
ensembl:lncRNA